rnacentral:lncRNA from 1 species
GAAGGCUUAAAACACAAAAGAUUCCAGCUAGUUGGGUCAAUGAGUAGAGAUGAAAUGUUCUAGAUUCAGUUCUACCAUCUGGCACUUCCUAGGCGAGUGACCCUGGCCAAGUCACUUAACCCCCAUCACCUAGACUUUAUCAUUCUUCUGCCCCAAAACCAAUACUUAGUAUUUAUUCCAAAGCAGAGGUAAAAACAAACAAACAUAAAAGAAUUCUAAGCACAUAUUGACAAAGACUUAAAAUAUGGGACAAUAGGAGCAAAGCGCUUUGUAAAGCCCAAAGUACCAUAUAAAUGCUAUCAUUAUUAAUAACCAGGAUUAGUUGUUAGCCACGGCUACUGGCUAAUACGAUCCAUUAUUAACGUGGCUCUCACUAAUAAAUGGCGGGCUGUCUCAACGACUAAAAAGAAUUUCUUCGGAAACAGAGAAUAUAAAUACAAAGUAAAUAAAGUGCAAUGUGGUGGGGUGUGGAGGAAGAGGGAGCCCUGGGAGCCCUGGAGUGUGCACUUCAGUGUUUUCUAAAGUCCCGUCCAGCUCGAGACCUCUGCUCCCAUGACUCAUGUGACCUGGGAUUAUGGACGGGGUCCUUCCUCCCCUGGCAGCCACACAGGAAGAGCGAGGAGCUUCUGGCUUCCUGAACUGGACGAAGAGGACAAGUUAACUGUUGUUUACCCACCAGCAUCUUUCGAAAGGUAGCAAAGAAAGUUCUGCUGAGUGAAUGAGGCUGGUUGUUCAGGAAAGAAAAAGUGGAGCUCAGCCACAUUAAAGGGCUGGAGACACAUUCGUGAAAACAGGUAGACUUGGGGGAAGAAUGGAUUCCCCUCGCAACUCGUCUUCGAUGGGCAUCCCGCCCCGUUCUCGGUCCUCAUGCCAUGGGCCUGAGGGGAUGAGUGCCCCCUCAUAGAAGGGCAGGCAUCUCCUUUCUUGUAAUGAGAGCCAGACACGCGACUUGAAGUGAGGCAGAGCUGGGUUCAAGUCCUGCCUCAGAGCUUUAUUAGUUGUGUGAUCUUAUUUAACCUCGCUGGAGGUGCUGUCCUUGUAAAAUGGCAGGUCUGAAUGGGACCGCUAAAGGCUUCCAAUUCCAAUUCCGAAUCUGUGAUCCUAUGAGUUUGACUUGGGAGGUUGGAAUUCCCAUUUUCUGUAAUGAAGUUAGCAAUUUGCACAUGGGACAAUGCAGGGAGCCGGUAAAGGAGGAGAAUCGGGGACUAUGAACUUGAGCUCUGUGGGGCAGGAGGACUUGGAUGGACGACAGGACAAAUCCCUGUACUUUGUAUGGUCCAAAGGGAGGGCUUAGUCCAACAGAAAAGAAAAAGGGUAAAGUCUCUCUGGGCUUCUUGUUACUUGUACUUUAAAAUAAACAAACCUUAUCUUCUGCCUUAGAUAUUGGU